GCUGGCGGUGCGCCUAAGACAUGCAAGUCGAGUGGGUUUAGACCCACGGCGAACGGCUGCGUAACACAUGGGUAUCUGCCCCGAACUCAGGAAUAACCCUCCGAAAGGGGGGCUAAUGCCGGAUAGUCCCGCAAGGGUAAAGCUUUUGCGGUUCGGGAGGAGCCUGUGGCCUAUCAGUUAGUUGGUGAGGUAACGGCUCACCAAGACGAUGACGGGUAGCUGGUCUGAGAGGACGACCAGCCAGAAUGGAACUGAGACACGGUCCAUACUCCUACGGGAGGCAGCAGUUAGGAAUCUUCCACAAUGGGCGAAAGCCUGAUGGAGCGACACCGCGUGAAGGAUGAAGCCUUUAACUAGGUGUAAACUUCUGUUAUGAGGGACGAAAUUUUUGACGGUACCUCAUGAGAAAGCACCGGCUAAUUCUGUGCCAGCAGCCGCGGUAAGACAGAAGGUGCAAGCGUUACUCGGAAUUACUGGGCGUAAAGCGUCUGUAGGUGUCCUUCCACGUCUGGAUUUAAUUGCGGGGCUCAACCCCGCAUCUGAUCUGGAAACGA
rnacentral:rRNA from 1 species